rnacentral:rRNA from 1 species
UACGUAGGGUGCGAGCGUUAUCCGGAUUCACUGGGUUUAAAGGGUGCGUAGGUGGGCAGGUAAGUCAGUGGUGAAAUCUCCGGGCUUAACUCGGAAACUGCCAUUGAUACUAUCUGUCUUGAAUACCGUGGAGGUUAGCGGAAUAUGUCAUGUAGCGGUGAAAUGCUUAGAUAUGACAUAGAACACCAAUUGCGAAGGCAGCUGGCUACACGAAUAUUGACACUGAUGCACGAAAGCGUGGGGAUCAAACAGG